UACGUAGGGUGCGAGCGUUACUCGGAAUUACUGGGCGUAAAGCGUGCGCAGGCGGUGAUGUAAGACAGAUGUGAAAUCCCCGGGCUCAACCUGGGAACUGCAUUUGUGACUGUAGAGCUGGAGUGCGGCAGAGGGGGAUGGAAUUCCGCGUGUAGCAGUGAAAUGCGUAGAUAUGCGGAGGAACACCGAUGGCGAAGGCAAUCCCCUGGGCCUGCACUGACGCUCAUGCACGAAAGCGUGGGGAGCAAACAGG
rnacentral:rRNA from 1 species